AUGGCAGAUGCCUCAAAAAACGGUGUUGCACAAGAAACAAUUCAAAAUACUAUCCGAAAAGCUAGCACAAAGAUAACAGAGCAAGAGGCUCGGCAGAUUCUCGGUGUUACUGAGGAAACUCCUUGGGAGGAUAUUAUCAAGAAAUAUGAAAGAAUGUUUGAGAAUAACGCCAAGAAUGGGAGUUUUUACCUGCAGUCGAAAGUUUACCGGGCGAAGGAAUGUUUGGAAUCUAUCAAAGAAAGCAACAAAGGUGAUGGAAACCCUAGUUGA